UUGGGUGAUGAAGAAACGACAAAAUACAGGGAAUUCCUCAUGCCGAAUGCAUAAUGUGGAUCCGUAAAUCUAGUUUCAGCCUUGUCUGACU
rnacentral:snoRNA from 1 species